AUUCUCAAUAUAACACUAGAAUUUUACAAAUACAUAACCAAAUAAAGUGCAAGCGUACACUUUUAAAGUUGGAGUACAAUCAUAAACACUCAUCAUUCUUACAUAAUAUCACAUAGCUAUGUUAUACAGAAAGAACGGAUUACAUAAGAAUCUCAUUCAUAUGAAGUCUUUAAAGGUCUACACACAUAUAUUUCGAAAAUUAUAGACUUAACUAGACUGAGCAGUCAUGACAAUCAAUAUCAACGAUAAGGAGGUGGAUUUGGUCCAAGAGGUCUUGGAAACCAGAGAGCUCCGGGAGGUGGACGAGGUGGCUGAGGUCCCCGAGGAUUAGGAUGAGAAGAAGGAGGAGGAGGAGGGUGUGGUUCUGGAUGCGGUGGUCUUGGUGGCUGUGGGUUGUCCUUAGGAGGAGGAGGACGACGAGGAGGAGGAUGAGGCAUUUUGAUUUUGAGCUUUGUUAUUGUAAUAUUUGUGUUGUGUACUUGGUUUAUUUAACAGCAAGAUUGAAACAUCAUUGUUACCAACAAGUCUUUGAAAGUGUAAAAGAAUCUCACUAGUAAUAUGUUUGGUAUAAUGGAAUGGUAGUUAUCCACCUAAUCUUCUAGCCAACUUAGUCUAGACUCUAGAGAGAAAUUUUCUUGGUGAGAUAAAUUUGACUGAAUAGUAGCAUUUUGUUGUGAGUCCACAACUAUUGUUCAAAACUAAAAUAGUGAAAUUGGUGUUUGAAGUAUUCCUACUAAAAAGUAUGAAAACCUCUUUCUUAUCCUGCACCAUUCCGUUUAUCAAACCAAAUCUUGGUAUCUCCAGUACCAAAAUCACUAAACCAAGAUAUGACAACUUUGAAUUCGUGCUUAAUUAUAUGUUGUGAUUAAUUACAUUUGAUGUCGGACAAUCAGCAAAGUUAUGGCAGCUGAAGCAAAGAAGAUAGAAGAGAUUCCCUUAAAAAUACUUGGAAGCACACUUGAAAAUGGAAGUUAUACAAAGCUUUAUAGCCUCAAACAUAUCACCAAUGCUUUCGCAGUCCGUACGACUCCUUUUCAGGUUCUCCUCACCUCCAAAAGUUAAUAACUCUAUCCGGUUUGAUUAUACUAUGUUUCCGGUUUUGUUCCAAUGCAUUAUUCAAAUUUUAUAAAUCGAGUCCAAUUUUCAAACUUCAGGGAAUUUAAAUGCGUAAUUAGGAUUAGUCGUUAGUCAAAUCAAUAGCUUUUCAUUAAUUGUCCAAUCUAAUGUAGGUUUUACAUCAAUCCCCCAUCUCAAUUUGGUUUGCUUCUACCUUUGGUUUACUUUGGCUUUGUUAAACCGGAAACGAUCCUCUUUAAUACUUGCAGGCCAAGAAACUGAAGAAAGGAAAUGGAGUGAAGGCAGUAGAAGAAGACAAACGAGUGAAACUAAUGACAAUAUACACUCCCAAUUUCUUGGAACUUCCUCAACAAGUCUGGCCAAAGAUCUCCAGCGACGGAGACAGACAUGUGACUGUGAGACCGGUCCUCUCUUCCCCGAGGGAUCUCGUAACGGAAAAAUCAUCUCCGCAAGGUUCUUUUCCGCCGGAGAGCUUCCGUUGCUCUCAACGGCUCCUUGGAUAUACUCUCUCCCUUCGAUCCUUCCCGUCAUGGAAGGUAUAAAUAUGUUGCAUGUCACUAUCAUUUUGUUUCAAUUUUAAAUAUAUCUUACGUUUUGGUAAACUAUUAGAAAAGUUAGCCUCACGCGCACGGUUGGUCAUAAAAUCAAAUUAUAAUUAGCUCAUAUAUUAAGUUUUAAGACUAAUAGUACUCUCUAAUUUGUUUUUAAACUAUUUAACGAGUUAUAUUAAUUGGUCCACGUGACAGAAUAGCCGUUUACAAGGCGAUUUACCCAUCGAUAGGUAAUUCUUGUUGACGUAAUUGCAGCCAUCGACCAAGUAAACCAGAAACACAAAGACUAAAAAGCCACAUUUUUCCCAAAGUGUCUUUACCCAUUUUUAUAUAAUUACUAAGUUUUAAUUUUAUUGGGACAGGCAAUAAUGGACGGUGUAGAUGUGCUGACACUGUCGGUGGGACCGGACAAGCUGCCGGUUAGAUAACAGUGUUUGGGAUCUUGGACCUCGCAAUGCUAUUGGCUAGAAAAGCAGGCGUGUUUGUGGUUCAAGCUGAAGGGAAUCAUGGUCCUUCACCGGCUUCUGUCCUGUCUUAUAGUCCGUGGGUUGUUGGUGUCGCAGCCGGAAACACGUACUGUUCUUAUCCUGCCUCCUUCAUACUCGACGGUGGCCAGACCGUUCAGAGCGUUGGUCUAUCAGGUAAAAUCUAAUUAACUUCUUUUAUUUUUUUUAUAUAAACUAUUGCUUCAACUCCAAGUUACUCCAUAAAACUCCAAAAAUUUUCAUUCAAAACUUAUUUGAAAAACCAAACAUGUUUUGCGAGUUUCAGCAAUCCUCAAUAGAGCAUUUUCUAUAGAAAAUUUAAAACCAUUUACCGAAAAUCGUAUGCUUUCUUAAAUUUUGGAAGAAUUAGCCUAUUUUUUAAUACAACGUUUUUGGUGCUAACUGCUAAAUAAAUAGAAUUCAUUUUUGAAUUGAUUUUAUUCCUGUUUCCAACAAGACAUAGGUAGCAUUGUAGAUAUCACUUGAAAUAAAAUAGUUUAUGGACCAUGUUACAACGUCGUAGCAGUUUUGAUCAUUGUGGUUACAAUAUUCAUAAAAGAAAAUAGGAAUUUACUUUUUUCUUCAUUUUGGGAACUAAAUCUGGGGAGCAUGGAGCCUUCCUAGUGUAUUUGAUCCCAUACUCUCAGGUUUUUACUUUUACAUCACUCAUAUUUUCUAUGUUUUGAAAUUUACCUCCUAAAUUUCAAAUUGUUUGUGUGAGUAGGAAGGAGCUUUGCGAUGUUGUCGGGAACAAGCAUGGCAACUCCUCAUAUAGAAGGGAUCAGUGCGUUCAUAAAGCAGCUUAAUUCUUCUUGGGCUCCGGUGAUGACUGCAUCAGCCAUCUCCAUCACAGCCACCAGAUUUGAUAAUUUUGAUGAAGUUAUAUCUGCGGAGACUUAUAGAAUUGGCAGAUUGGUCCCAUCUAAUCAAUUUGAUCAUGGCGAUGGCCAUGUUAAUCCGGCUAGAGCCAUAGAUCCACGGCUGGUUUUACCCACAGGUAACUACUUUUUACUUAUCACGGGUGUGAAUUGAAAACUUAAAAGGUUAGUGACUUUUAUGUAAUUAGAAAAAAACAUUGUGGUACUUUUAAUAAUACCAAUUUUUGUUCAUUGGACCAGGUUUUGAAGACUACAUCAGUUUCUUGUGUUCACUGCCAAAUAUUAACUCGACCAUGGUUCUAGCCGCCACUAGAGUCUGGUGCACCACUGCGCUUAGCUACCCUGCGAACCUUAACCAUCCAUCAGUGACUAUAUCUGCACUUAAAGGGUCACUUGUGGUGAGAAGAAGUUUCCAAAACGUCUCCAACAAGACCGAGACAAAUCUUGGUUUGGUUUUACCUCCCACUGGUAUAGCCAUACGGUUGAUCCCAUCUUGGUUUACUAUAUGAGUACAGAGAAUCCAAGAUCUAGACAUUGUGUUCGAUGUUACAGAAGUCCUAAACCAGUUUACAGUUGGUGAAAUCGUUCUUACUGGAAGCUUAAACCAUAUUAUAAGAAUACCGUUAUCGGUUAAGACCAUACCGUUUUGAAAAACAUAGCUCUUUUUGUUUUAAAAUCAUUAGUCUUCAUUAAAAAAAAACAAUUAUGUGGUAUUUUUAUCGUAUUUGAUUAAUUUUCUUGUUUUUUUUUCACAUACAUUGUUCUUGUUGUUUUCAACGAAAUGGUUGUGACACACUACAAGUUGAGUAAAACAAAUAUAAUUUGGUAUGUUAUGUUACAGAAAUUUCUAGUUCACAAACAGAAAGAGUCAGCCACAAAAAGGAUGAACAACAAUCACUUAUAUUCUCAAUAUAACACUAGAAUUUUACAAAUACAUAACCAAAUAAAGUGCAAGCGUACCCUUUUGAGGUUGGAGUACAAUCAUAAACUCUCAUCAUUCUUACAUAAUAUCACAUAGCUAUGUUAUACAGAAAGAACGGAUUACAUAAGAAUCUCAUUCAUAUGAAGUCUUUAAAGGUCUACACACAUAUAUUUCGAAAAUUAUAUACUUAACUAGACUGAGCAGUCAUCAUCAAUAUCAACGAUAAGGAGGUGGAUUUGGUCCAAGCGGUUUUGGAAACCAGAGAGCUCCAGGAGGUGGACGAGGUGGCUGAGGUCCCCGAGGAUGAGGAUGAGAAGAAUUAGGAGGGUGCGGCUCUGGAUGCGGUGGUCUUGGUGGCUGUGGGUGGUGGGUAGGAGGAGGAGGACGACGAGGAGGAGGAUGAGGCAUUUUGAUUUUGAGCUUUGUUACUGUAAUAUUUGUGUUGUGUACUUGGUUUAUUUAACAGCAAGAUUGAACAUCAUUG
rnacentral:lncRNA from 1 species